rnacentral:rRNA from 1 species
GCCAGACUCCUACGGGAGGCAGCAGUGAGGAAUAUUGGUCAAUGGCCGUAAGGCUGAACCAGCCAAGUAGCGUGAGGGAAGACUGCCCUAUGGGUUGUAAACUUCUUUUAUAAAGGAAUAAAACGAGGCACGUGUGCCUUUUUGCAUGUACUUUAUGAAUAAGGAUCGGCUAACUCCGUGCCAGCAGCCGCGGUAAUACGGAGGAUCCGAGCGUUAUCCGGAUUUAUUGGGUUUAAAGGGUGCGCAGGCGGAGGUGCAAGUCAGUGGUCAAAUUGCGGGGCUCAACCCCGUACUGCCGUUGAAACUGCAUCCCUUGAGUGCGCGAGAAGUAUGCGGAAUGCGUGGUGUAGCGGUGAAAUGCAUAGAUAUCACGCAGAACUCCGAUUGCGAAGGCAGCAUACCGGCGCGCAACUGACGCUCAUGCACGAAAGCGUGGGUAUCGAACAGGAUUAGAUACCCGUGUA